rnacentral:rRNA from 2 species
UAAGCAUAUCAAUAAGCGGAGGAAAAGAAACCAACAGGGAUUGCCCCAGUAACGGCGAGUGAAGCGGCAACAGCUCAAAUUUGAAAUCUGGCCUCCGGGUCCGAGUUGUAAUUUGUAGAGGAUGCUUUUGGCGAGGUGCCUUCCGAGUUCCCUGGAACGGGACGCCAUAGAGGGUGAGAGCCCCGUCUGGUCGGACACCGAGCCUCUGUAAAGCUCCUUCGACGAGUCGAGUAGUUUGGGAAUGCUGCUCAAAAUGGGAGGUAUAUGUCUUCUAAAGCUAAAUAUUGGCCAGAGACCGAUAGCGCACAAGUAGAGUGAUCGAAAGAUGAAAAGCACUUUGAAAAGAGGGUUAAAAAGUACGUGAAAUUGUUGAAAGGGAAGCGCCUAUGACCAGACUUGGGCCCGGUGAAUCAUCCAGCGUUCUCGCUGGUGCACUUUGCCGGGCACAGGCCAGCAUCAGUUUGGCGCGGGGGAAAAAGGUUUUGGGAAUGUGGCUCCCUCGGGAGUGUUAUAGCCCAUUGCGUAAUACCCUGCGCCGGACUGAGGUACGCGCAUCGCAAGGAUGCUGGCGUAAUGGUCAUCAGCGACCCGUCUUGAAACACGGACCAAGGAGUCGUCUUCGUAUGCGAGUGUUCGGGUGUCAAACCCCUACGCGUAAUGAAAGUGAACGCAGGUGAGAGCUUCGGCGCAUCAUCGACCGAUCCUGAUGUUCUCGGAUGGAUUUGAGUAAGAGCAUACGGGGCCGGACCCGAAAGAAGGUGAACUAUGCCUGUAUAGGGUGAAGCCAGAGGAAACUCUGGUGGAGGCUCGCAGCGGUUCUGACGUGCGAAUCGAUCGUCAAAUAUGGGCAUGGGGGCGAAAGACUAAUCGAACCUUCUAGUAGCUGGUUUC